CCACCAAUGCAUUGGCCCCUAGAGUCACGGAUAAUCCCCCCACCACCAGCUAAACCAGACGAGCCAAGAAAGGAGCCAUCGGUAUUAAGCUUCCACCAGCCAUCAGGGGGUUUCAGCCACUUAACCAACCUUGGGACUUUGGUUUUUCUCUUCCUCGGAUCAGCAAUGCAGUAAAAAAAUUCCCUGGUUUGCAUCUCCACCUUCUGCACAUCAUUGGAAAUCAUGCAAUGUGAGCCAAAAACCUUCCUAUUUCGCUGCAGCCAAAGAUACCAGAUACCCAGCAGGAAGAACAAACACCAAGGGUAGUCCUUAUCACUAGUCAACAGCGUGCUAUUCGAGUUUAUGCGUAACCAAUCUAGGAAGUUACCUUCAAAAGACUGCCAUAAGGUAGAGGGGCAGUUAGCUUGUCUCCAAAAUACUUGGGCCACAGGACAAUCCCGCAAAACAUGCACAAUGGUUUCAUCAGGGUCCAAGCAGCUACUACAACCCCCUAGGCCAUCAAUCCCCCUAUGACCAAGAACUGCAUUGACUGGCAGACUAUGAUGAUAGCACGUGUAUUAAUUCACACUAUGGAAAUGAGCACUGGUUUUGAUUUUUGUUUUGUGUGGAGCACAAGGAUUGGAUGAUGAAGUUUUGAGCUUCUGUGAAAGUAUUUGAUCUGAGAUUUUGAUGCUGGUUUUGAAAAACCUAUAUGUAUAAUUAUUGUCCAUUUCUUUUGAUUCGGUGCUUAUGAUUUCGUUUGACCUUCAAGCUAUAGAUUUUUUUUGGUACAAGUAAUUUAGCUAUUUCUCAUUUAUUUUGAAAUUUAUCUAUCUUUCUUUCUUUCUCUCUCUCUCUCUUUUUUUUUUUUUUCUCAAGUUGCAGAGGAAUUACAUUCCGGGCCGAAAUGCAUUUUUCAGCCGGAAUGACCGAAAUUCACCGGAAAGGCCGAUGCAAACCGGAAUAGUCUGGUAUUUAAAACGAAACGAAAUAAAGGUCUACCAGUACCGGAUUGUUCACCGGUGAAAUGGCAAAGAAAAUUAAGAAGCGAGCUAUAAAACAAGCAAGAGAUAAAGGUGAUAGUGGUAGUCAAUCACAAGUUACACCUUCAUCAUUUGAUUCACCAACUAAUGAAGCACUUGCUUCUUCUAAUAGUGUGAUUAAUGGGGGCAGCGAAGGAUCUACUGUACAAAAGAAAAGAGGUCGGGGAAAGGCUAAGGGUGUUUAUCCAGGUCAUAACCGCAAGUGUGAGAUACAUGACAGAAG